rnacentral:rRNA from 1 species
AUGAACGCUGGCGGCGUGCCUAAUACAUGCAAGUCGAGCGAACGGACGGGAAGCUUGCUUCUCUGAUGUUAGCGGCGGACGGGUGAGUAACACGUGGAUAACCUACCUAUAAGACUGGGAUAACUUCGGGAAACCGGAGCUAAUACCGGAUGAUAUUUUGAACCGCAUGGUUCAAAAGUGAAAGACGGUCUUGCUGUCACUUAUAGAUGGAUCCGCGCUGCGUUAGCUAGUUGGUAAGGUAACGGCUUACCAAGGUAACGAUGCAUAGCCGACCUGAGAGGGUGAUCGGCCACACUGGAACUGAGACACGGUCCAGACUCCUACGGGAGGCAGCAGUAGGGAAUCUUCCGCAAUGGGCGAAAGCCUGACGGAGCAACGCCGCGUGAGUGAUGAAGGUCUUCGGAUCGUAAAACUCUGUUAUUAGGGAAGAACAUAUGUGUAAGUAACUGUGCACAUCUUGACGGUACCUAAUCAGAAAGCCACGGCUAACUACGUG